rnacentral:rRNA from 1 species
ACACAUGCAGUCGAACGAUGAACCACUUCGGUGGGGAUUAGUGGCGAACGGGUGAGUAACACGUGGGCAAUCUGCCCUGCACUCUGGGACAAGCCCUGGAAACGGGGUCUAAUACCGGAUACUGAUUGUCUUGGGCAUCCUUGAUGAUCGAAAGCUCCGGCGGUGCAGGAUGAGCCCGCGGCCUAUCAGCUUGUUGGUGAGGUAACGGCUCACCAAGGCGACGACGGGUAGCCGGCCUGAGAGGGCGACCGGCCACACUGGGACUGAGACACGGCCCAGACUCCUACGGGAGGCAGCAGUGGGGAAUAUUGCACAAUGGGCGCAAGCCUGAUGCAGCGACGCCGCGUGAGGGAUGACGGCCUUCGGGUUGUAAACCUCUUUCAGCAGGGAAGAAGCGAAAGUGACGGUACCUGCAGAAGAAGCGCCGGCUAACUACGUGCCAGCAGCCGCGGUAAUACGUAGGGCGCAAGCGUUGUCCGGAAUUAUUGGGCGUAAAGAGCUCGUAGGCGGCUUGUCGCGUCGGUUGUGAAAGCCCGGGGCUUAACCCCGGGUCUGCAGUCGAUACGGGCAGGCUAGAGUUCGGUAGGGGAGAUCGGAAUUCCUGGUGUAGCGGUGAAAUGCGCAGAUAUCAGGAGGAACACCGGUGGCGAAGGCGGAUCUCUGGGCCGAUACUGACGCUGAGGAGCGAAAGCGUGGGGAGCGAACAGGAUUAGAUACCCUGGUAGUCCACGCCGUAAACGGUGGGCACUAGGUGUGGGCAACAUUCCACGUUGUCCGUGCCGCAGC